rnacentral:rRNA from 1 species
GAUGAACGCUGGCGGCGUGCCUAAUACAUGCAAGUCGAGCGAACAGAUGAGGAGCUUGCUCCUCUGACGUUAGCGGCGGACGGGUGAGUAACACGUGGAUAACCUACCUAUAAGACUGGGAUAACUUCGGGAAACCGGAGCUAAUACCGGAUAAUAUAUCGAACCGCAUGGUUCAAUAGUGAAAGACGGCUUUGCUGUCACUUAUAGAUGGAUCUGCGCCGCAUUAGCUAGUUGGUAAGGUAACGGCUUACCAAGGCAACGAUACGUGGCCGACCUGAGAGGGGGACGGGCAAAAUUGAAACGAGAAACGGGCCAAGCUCCUAAGGGAAGCAACAAGAGGGAAACUUCCGCCAUUGGCGGAAGCCUGACGGGGCAACCGCGCGGUAGUUAAGAAGGUCUUCGGAUCGGAAAACCCUGUUUAUAGGGAAAAACAAAUGGGGAAGUAACCAGGCACGGCUUGACGGUACCUAAUCAAAAAACCACGGCUAAAUACGUU